UGUGAUUGUAGUUCAGUGGUAGAACGCUUGCCUAGCAUGUGUGAGGCCCUGGGUUCAAUCCCCAGCAACACAU